rnacentral:rRNA from 1 species
CCUACGGUGAGCUGCAGUGGGGAAUAUUGCGCAAUGGGCGAAAGCCUGACGCAGCGACGCCGCGUGAGGGAUGAAGGUCUUCGGAUCGUAAACCUCUGUCAGCAGGGAAGAACGGUCACUGUGCUAAUCAGCAGUGAAUUGACGGUACCUGCAAAGGAAGCACCGGCUAACUCCGUGCCAGCAGCCGCGGUAAUACGGAGGGUGCGAGCGUUAAUCGGAAUUACUGGGCGUAAAGCGCUCGUAGGCGGUAUGUCAAGUCAAGGGUGAAAUCCCCGGGCUCAACGUGGGAACUGCCUUUGAAACUGGCAAACUGGAGUGUGUGAGAGGAUAGUGGAAUGCCAGGUGUAGGAGUGAAAUCCGUAGAUAUCUGGCGGAACAUCAGUGGCGAAGGCGACUAUCUGGCACAUAACUGACGCUGAGGAGCGAAAGCGUGGGUAGCAAACAGGAUUAGAUACCCCAGUAGUC